UACGAAGGGGGCAAGCGUUGUUCGGAUUUACUGGGCGUAAAGCGUACGUAGGCGGAUAAUUAAGUCAGGGGUGAAAGCCCGGAGCUCAACUCCGGAACUGCCUUUAAGACUGCAUCGCUUGAAUCCAGGAGAGGUGAGUGGAAUUCCGAGUGUAGAGGUGAAAUUCGUAGAUAUUCGGAAGAACACCAGUGGCGAAGGCGGCUCACUGGACUGGUAUUGACGCUGAGGUGCGAAAGCGUGGGGAGCAAACAGG
rnacentral:rRNA from 1 species